rnacentral:miRNA from 1 species
UAUAAUAUAUACAUAUAUAUACACACACACACACACACAUAUAUAUAUAUAUGUGUGUGUGUGUGUGUGUAUAUAUAUGUAUAUAUUA